UUAAGUUAAAUAAACUAUCUGCCUUCAAAGCAGAAAAUAAAACAUAGUAAUUUAAG
rnacentral:tRNA from 1 species